GGAAGAUUGGCCCUGAGCUAACAUCUGUCACCAGUCUUUCCUCUUUUUGCUUGAGGAAGAUUGUUCCUGAACUUACAUCUGAGGCAAUCUUCCUCCAUUUUGUAUGUGGGGUGCCGCCACAGUGUGACUUGAUAAGUGGUAUGUAGGUCUGUGCCCAGGAUCUGAACCUGCGAACCCCAGUGGCGCAGCAGUUAAGUGCACAUGUUCUGCUUCAGCGGCCAGGGGUUCGCCAGUUUGGAUCCCUGGCGCGGACAUGGCACCGCUUGGCACGCCAUGCUGUGGAAAGCGUCCCACAUAUAAAGUAGAGGAAGAUGGGCAUGGAUGUUAGCUCAGGGCCAUUCUUCCUCAGUAAAAAGAGGAAGAUUGGCAGCAGUUAGCUCAGGGCUAAUCUUCCUCAAAAAAAAAACAAAACUAAAAACCUCAAGUUAGUUUGAAUGGACUGUGUUGUUGGACCGUAUUUCUUUUCUUUUCUGUUUUUUGCUGAAGAAGAUUAUCUCUGAGCUAACAUUGGUGCCAGUCUUCCUCCAUUUUAUAUGUGGGUCACCACCAUGGCAUGGCUGAUGAGUGGUAUAGGUCUGCACCUGGGAUCUGAACCCACAAACACAGGCUGCCAAAGUGGAGCAUGCUGAACUUAACCACUAUACCACUGGGUCAGCCCCUGGACUGUAUUUCUUGAAUGUGAGAACUCCUAGGACCUGAACUGUGUGGUCACAGCUUUCUUGUACUCUGAUCCUGAGGGGCUGGGCAUGAGUAUUAACUGAGUAACAUAUCUGAAGGGCAUAUGGCAGUUGGUAGGGGUCCUGUAAAUGUUAGUUUUCUUCUGUGUAGGAAUAUUGGGCAUGUGUGGCUGUCUGAGAGCAAGUCCAACACUCCAAACUCCAUCCCAAGAGGCCACAUUGCUGUUCUUACUCUCACUCCACCCCUCUGCUUUGGGAGAGAGAGCGAGGGGCUACCCUCCCUGCAAUUUCACAAAGGCUGGCUUAGCAUCCUUACUCUGCAUAUCAUGGUUUUCAGCCUUCACAAAUUCCACACACAAGAGAAAGUUGUGGUUUGAGGAGUCUGAAAAAGUAUAGGC
rnacentral:lncRNA from 1 species